UACGUAGGGUGCGAGCGUUGUCCGGAAUUAUUGGGCGUAAAGAGCUCGUAGGCGGUUUGUUGCGUCGGCCGUGAAAACUCAGGGCUUAACUCUGAGCCUGCGGUCGAUACGGGCAGACUUGAGUUCGGUAGGGGAGACUGGAAUUCCUGGUGUAGCGGUGAAAUGCGCAGAUAUCAGGAGGAACACCGGUGGCGAAGGCGGGUCUCUGGGCCGAUACUGACGCUGAGGAGCGAAAGCGUGGGGAGCGAACAGG
rnacentral:rRNA from 2 species